rnacentral:lncRNA from 1 species
CUGUACUUUCCUGACUUGGUGUUUACUUAACCCUCUGAAAACGACCUCCCAAGCUUCAGGCUUCACUCUCCUCCUCCAGCCACAGAAAUGAAGAUGCUGCUGUCCCCGGUCCUCCCUGGGAAGGGGAAGAGGGAAACUGCAAGUUAGGGUUAAGCCCCGCUAAUCAAAGCGAUUCAGAUUUUUCCUGCCAGUGGAUCACACCUGCCUGAGCCCCAGAGCCAGCUCUCCUGAGUCGACUGUUCUGUGACACAGCCGCUGGCGGGGGCCAGACCUCCUCCUGACUCACCGUGCGCUGAAG